rnacentral:rRNA from 1 species
GCCUUGCUGAAUUAUUCACCCUUGUCUUUUGCGUACUUCUUGUUUCCUUGGUGGGUUCGCCCACCACUAGGACAAACAUAAACCUUUUGUAAUUGCAAUCAGCGUCAGUAACAAAUUAAUAAUUACAACUUUCAACAACGGAUCUCUUGGUUCUGGCAUCGAUGAAGAACGCAGCGAAAUGCGAUAAGUAGUGUGAAUUGCAGAAUUCAGUGAAUCAUCGAAUCUUUGAACGCACAUUGCGCCCUUUGGUAUUCCAAAGGGCAUGCCUGUUCGAGCGUCAUUUGUACCCUCAAGCUUUGCUUGGUGUUGGGCGUCUUGUCUCUAGCUUUGCUGGAGACUCGCCUUAAAGUAAUUGGCAGCCGGCCUACUGGUUUCGGAGCGCAGCACAAGUCGCACUCUCUAUCAGCAAAGGUCUAGCAUCCAUUAAGCCUUUUUUUCAACUUUUGACCUCGGAUCAGGUAGGGAUACCCGCUGAACUUAAGCAUAUC